CUCAAGAUGAUAGCAGCUUGCGCCUUCAUGAUCGCUCGUUUCACUUUCGAUCGACG
rnacentral:tRNA from 1 species